rnacentral:rRNA from 1 species
GACGAACGCUGGCGGCGUGCCUAAUACAUGCAAGUCGAGCGGACCUCUUCGGAGGUUAGCGGCGGACGGGUGAGUAACACGUGGGCAACCUGCCUGUAAGACUGGGAUAACUCCGGGAAACCGGAGCUAAUACCGGAUAGUAUCUUGAACCGCAUGGUUCAAGUUGGAAAGACGGUUUCGGCUGUCACUUACAGAUGGGCCCGCGGCGCAUUAGCUAGUUGGUGAGGUAAUGGCUCACCAAGGCAACGAUGCGUAGCCGACCUGAGAGGGUGAUCGGCCACACUGGGACUGAGACACGGCCCAGACUCCUACGGGAGGCAGCAGUAGGGAAUCUUCCGCAAUGGACGAAAGUCUGACGGAGCAACGCCGCGUGAGUGAUGAAGGUUUUCGGAUCGUAAAACUCUGUUGUUAGGGAAGAACAAGUGCGAGAGUAACUGCUCGCACCUUGACGGUACCUAACCAGAAAGCCACGGCUAACUACGUGCCAGCCGCCGCCGUAA